rnacentral:rRNA from 1 species
ACGGGAGGCAGCAGUGAGGAAUAUUGGUCAAUGGGCGGAAGCCUGAACCAGCCAAGUCGCGUGAAGGAUGAAGGUAUUAUGUAUUGUAAACUUCUUUAGACGUAGAGAAAUAAGGGGAUCGUGAUCCCUGAUGCUAGUAUACGUAGAAUAAGGAUCGGCUAACUCCGUGCCAGCAGCCGCGGUAAUACGUAGGGAGCAAGCGUUAUCCGGAUUUACUGGGUGUAAAGGGCGUGUAGGCGGGACAUCAAGUCAGAUGUGAAAGCACGAGGCUCAACUUCGUGUCUGCAUUUGAAACUGACGUUCUUGAGUGUUGGAGAGGCUAACGGAACUCCUAGUGUAGCGGUGAAAUGCGUAGAUAUUAGGAAGAACACCAGUGGCGAAGGCGGUUAGCUGGACAAUAACUGACGCUGAGGCGCGAAAGCGUGGGUAGCAAACAGGAUUAGAUACCCUGGUA